UGAGGGUGACCCCCUCCCCUGCUGGCCUAUACUGCAUGGUAUGCUUGUGCUUGUUGGGUGACCCCCUCUUGCACGCUGGGUGACCCCCAGCUGGCCGCACCACUGUACCUACAGUGUCCGAUUAUGUUCAGACUGAGGGUGACCCCCUCCCCUGCUGGCCUAUACUGCAUGGUAUGCUUGUGCUUGUUGGGUGACCCCCUCUUGCACGCUGGGUGACCCCCAGCUGGCCGCACCACUGUACCUACAGUGUCCGAUUAUGUUCAGACUGAGGGUGACCCCCUCCCCUGCAGGCCUAUACUGCAUGGUAUGCUUGUGCUUGUUGGGUGACCCCCUCUUGCACGCUGGGUGACCCCCAGCUGGCCGCACAAGGUAUCAUUCCGACAGUGUUACCUCUAUGGCAGUUGUGCAAUCACGGCUGAAGGACAAAUCUCCCGUACCCAGAAGGUCACUUGGCCUGUCCUCUUGCCGCCCCGCUGACCUCACUGCCAGAAACCAUCGGUACCCUACGGGAACAUUCCACCGGCCAUCCUAGAUACUACACCAAGCACCCCAGGUACUCGUUGGCUAACGGAUGGAUUCAUCAAGAGGAUCAGUCUUCAUGACGGAGUCCGGAAAGGACACCGCAAACACCUGACACGGGGUUUGCACUCUAUCUGGGACUAACCAGUGGAUGUCAGUGACAUACGGACACAGAUGUUUGCUCGGGACGAACGGCGCGUUACCGCUUGGAAAGCGGAGAAGACUAAAUUCCCACUGGGAAUGGACCGAUAUGACUUAUAGGUAUCGCCUAGUUGGUUUCUACCCCUGAGAACCGCAAAACGGCCCCUGUCCAAGCUGGACAUCAAACUGAUGGAUUUAGCAUCCAAGUGCUGGGUCUGCUCUCCGGAGUUACCCUCAUGUACAAAUUGAGCUGACACAUCUCUAUUCAUAGGGUUCCCCCUUAACUAAUCACAGAGAUCUCUCGGACCGUGCCCGGACUCCAGAUCAAGGUUGGACCGUUCCAUGAGCAAUACGCAUGACCAAAAGAGGCAUCCAUUCCGACUCAUUCCGCAGUUGCCCUGCUGGGCAAAGGGUGCAGUGGAGUGGACUCCCGCCCCAUCCCCACGCUACAUGCUCCCAGUGCAUAUGUCGUCUGUUGACACAUUUUGAGACGGAGGGCACUCAUCCCAUCUGAGAGCUGCUCGGCGUUGACGAUUGGUUCUCUCCCUCAAAUGCACAUGAGAGAAACCCGCAUGGAUUUUGCCAUCAACAUGGACAUAUUGAAUCUGACUCACUCCCAGUCAACCCAGUUUCCGGUCUUUCAUGGAAUAUUCGGUCCAGGCGGUGCUCCGCCUCCCGUGGACCAAGAUGUCCGUCUUCAAGGAAAAUACCAAGUAUAUACUCUGCAACCCGCGGGUUACACUUAGGGGCCCAACCCGGUUAAUUGACCGGUGCCUAUUCGCCAUGGAAGCCAUACCUCCAGGAUCCGGUACUAUCAGCCGCUCCAACAUGGCGCUUUCUCGGGUCUUUGGCCUUGUAUGACCAAAUCAUGUGACCUUCGGAUGAAGCUCAUCUAAAACUUAAUUGAUGACUCCGGAGGAGGGACUCCUUUACGCCAACUGCAUGGAACUACCUGCAGGUUUGUUCAACAUUCACAGUAUUGCUCGCUACCUUCUGGUAUGGACUUCUCACCGGUUGCCCACUACGGACUGCAGUCGGAUCUCACAUAGGAUCGCUAUCUAUAGCUUCUGGACAAGUAUUCAUCAUUUGUGACAGAAUGUAUGCGGGACGAGACACUAGUGUGGCGGACGGCUUCACCCGACCAUGGAGAGACCCCAAUGAUUGGUUGCCUCACCCUCCAGGAUCUUGAGUACUGGCAUGAUUACAUUCGGUGCGAACCGCCAUACGGAGCGGUUCUCCAACUGGCUGCCGGACCCUCGGCGAGGGACGAGUUUUCCAAGCUUGGUCUCCUUCGGGGCGUACGCAUCCCGUUUACCUACAGGAUACUUUGGGUUUUGCUUCAGACCGAAUUCCUGGAAGUGUCGUUUCGCCUGGCCAAACCACUUCGGAGGAGUCCUGCGUGCUUUCCCCUUUUUGCUGGAGUUUGCCAUGGGAAGGCAAUCUACGACUCCCUGUCUCUUAAUGUCCCACGUGGAAUCCACAGGGGUAGCCUGCCAUGACUGGUGUUUGGGUCCCAAUGGCGGUCCUUAUCAUGGCUGUCCCCAUUGUCUGGCUGAGUUGCCCUCUCAGGGUAGGAUCGUAUGGGGCCAUUCACGUUCUAUGUCAGCUAGUGGACGACUCAUGUGCGUUUUCUCAAGAUUCUGGCAUUGCUAGGAUCUCUUGGUCUGCAGACUACCAAGAGGAGUAUACUGUACGGGAGCCCUAUCUCUCGCUAUUCCUCAAGUCUAGUGGUAUUGUGUGUUCUGCAUUUCAUUGAGGAAUGACCUGAUGACAAGGUGCACCAGUUUUUUCCGCUUACGGUUUCCCCCCAGUACAUCUUGUAUUUCAUCGCGUUCUGACGUCAUGGUAUCGACGUGUCUUCUUCCUUCUUGCCGUUCAGUACAUCGGCUUCUGCUCCACACAUAUUUCAUUUUUAUUCGUCCUCUGUGUCGUACCCCUAUUCUCCGGAUAGGCCACGGCUCUGUUGACAGAUUGUACACGACCAUGUAGAUCCAGGAUCUGGUUCUUUCGUCCAUCUACUCAUGGACAGCUGUUUAUUUCUGCAUACAGCCGUUUUGGACUGUUUCUGCAUCUUCGCUCACCCGUUGGAUUUGGUGGAUCCUCUCAUUGACUGACCUUGAGUUCCUCUGGGACACUUUUGGUUCGGGGUGCUGUCACCUCAACAAUUUUGGAAGCCGUUCGGUCCCUUCUGCAUUUUCUCUACACCGCUGCUUGGUUUAGGGAAUCAGUUUUUCCAUUCUCCUUUAUUUCAGUCCUCUAUCUCAUAUUGCUUCUGGUUCUUCUAUUUGGGCGUUAAAAUUGCAAAUAUGAAGCCUCCUGUCCUGCCAUAAAAUUAGGGAUUAUUCUAGCCUCGGUGAGGGAAUAAUCUAAAUUUUAUUAAAGACAGGAGGCGAAUAUUUCCCCCCCUUUUUUUUACGUUCCCUCCCUGGAUCUGAGUUUUAUUCUAUUAGAAAUAAUUGGGGAUAUUGUUAUGUUUUGUGAAUGCAUGGUUUUACAUAAUAAAGGUUAUUUCUAAUAUUCAGUGAUGGUUGUCCGUGUGCGUUUUAUUCAUCAUGUUUGUGUUGUAAUUAUGUUUUGUCAAUGCCUUUUAGCUUAGGUACAUACUAGGUCUUCAUAAGAUCUGUAGACUUUGUUUAUUCAUCAGGUAUUAUGAUGUGAAAGUGAUAUUGUAUGGAUAUGACAUCUUGCCUUGACAGUUUACUUUCACGAUGUUUUCUGUUUUCUUGCAGUGUAAUCUGUUUUCUCUCUGGGCUUGACGAUUGUUUCUCUGGACGUGUCUGCUACAAGGUGGAUUCGUUGGUUUCCUUGCUCUCCUGCUCGACCUCAUCAAAGAAAGAGGAAGUGGAAGAGCCUGCUUAGGG